AUGGACUUGUACUACCAGCAGGCCGCGCCGGCGGCGAGGAGGCCGUGGGCCAAGGAGGAGGACAAGGCGUUCGAGGCGGCGCUGGUGACGCUCCCGGACCAGGCGCCCGACCGGUGGGAGCGCGUCGCGGCGCGGCUCCCGGGGCGCACCCCGCAGGAGGCCUGGGAGCACUACCAGGCGCUCGUCGCCGACGUCGACCUCAUCGAGCGCGGCGCGGUGGACACGCCCGGCUGCUGGGACGACGACGACGGCUGCACAGCCGCCGCCGCACCCGGCCGCCGCGCCGGCAAGCCCCGCGGCGAGGAGCGCCGGCGCGGCAUACCCUGGUCCGAGGAGGAGCACAAGCUGUUCCUUGACGGGCUGGAGAAGUACGGGCGGGGGGACUGGAGGAACAUCUCGCGGUUCGCGGUGCGGAGCCGGACGCCGACGCAGGUGGCCAGCCACGCGCAGAAGUACUUCAUCCGCCAGGCCAACGCCGCCACGCGCGACUCCAAGCGCAAGAGCAUCCACGACAUCACCACCCCUUGA
rnacentral:rRNA from 1 species